rnacentral:rRNA from 1 species
AUUCCAAUCGAACUCGGAGAUAGCUGGUUCUCCCCGAAAUAGCUUUAGGGCUAGCCUCAUAUUAGAUACCCGGAGGUAAAGCACUGAAUGGCCUAGCGCCCGAGAGGGUAGCGAAGCCUAUCAAACUAAGAAUGCCGGAGUAUUGAUGUAUGGGAGUCAGACAGUGUGAGAUAAAUCUCAUUGUCAAAAGGGAAACAGCCCAGAUCUACAGCUAAGGUCCCAAAUUGUAUCUAAGUGGAAAACGAUGUGGAAAUACGCAGACAACCAGGAUGUUGGCUCAGAAGCAGCCACUCAUUUAAAGAGUGCGUAAUAGCUCACUGGUCGAGCGUCUCUGCGCGGAAAAUUUAACGGGGCUAAGAUACAAACCGAAGCUUAGGCUGCAUCGUAAGAUGCGGGGUAGGGGAGCGUUGUGUAAGCGGAGAAACAGUAGCGUAAGCGGCUGUGGAGUUUACAGAAGUGAGAAUGCCGGAAUGAGUAGCGCGAAUGUGGUGAGAAUCCACAUGGCCGGAAACCUCAGGUUUUUGGAGGAAGGUUCGUCCGCUCCAAGUUAGGCGGGAGCUAAGGUCAGGCCGAAAGGCGUAGCCGAUGCACAGACGGUAGAGAUUCCGUCCCCACCGAAAGAUUUAAGCACAGGGACACUUUUUGAAGGUCGGAGCCAGGUGUUGGUUCUGGUAGUGAUCGAGGGAAAUAUAGUACCGAAGUCCGGCUGGAAGAGAGGCGAGAAAAGCUGUGUGUAUAUCUAAGGUGCCCGUACCGCAAACCGACACAGGUAGGUAGGAAGAAGAUUCUAAGGCCAACGGGAGAAGGGUUGUUAAGGAACUCGGCAAGUUGACCCCGUAACUUCGGAAUAAGGGGUGCUCACGAGAGUGAGCCGCAGAGAAUAGGCCCAGGCAACUGUUUACCAAAAACACAGGUUUGUGCUAAAUCGAAAGAUGACGUAUACGAGCUGACGCCUGCCCGGUGCUGGAAGGUUAAAAGGAGAUGUGCAAGCAUUGAAUUGAAGCCCCAGUGAACGGCGGCCGUAACUAUAACGGUCCUAAGGUAGCGAAAUUCCUUGUCAGGUAAGUUCUGACCCGCAUGAAAGGCGUAAUGAUUUGGGCACUGUCUCAACAGCCCGCCCGGCGAAAUUGUAGUACCGGUGAAGAUGCCGGUUACCCGCGACAAGACGGAAAGACCCCAUGGAGCUUUACUGUAGCCUGAUAUUGGGUUUCGGUGUUGCAUGCACAGGAUAGAUGGGACGCUAGGAAAGAAGCGCUUUGGCGUUUCUGGAGCGGACGUUGGGAUACCAUCCUUGCGACAUUGGAAUUCUAACCUGCGCCUCUGAAUCGAGGCGGGGGACAUUGUCAGGUGGGCAGUUUGACUGGGGCGGUCGCCUCCUAAAAAGUAGCGGAGGCGUUCAAAGGUUCGUUCGAUCUGGACGGAAACCAGAUGAUUGAGUGCAAACGCAUAAACGAGCCUGACUGCGAGACUGACGGGUCGAGCAGAGACGAAAGUCGGAGUUAGUGAUCCGGUGGUAUGUGAGUGGAAAUGCCAUCGCUCAACGGAUAAAA